GUGGAUCAUAUCGUGAAGUUGGAGUCCUAAUCCGUGCCGGGCUGACAGCUCGGCCUAGCUCCAGUAAUAUGAAGGCUGUACCAUCUGAUAGGACAUAUACCAUCGGAAAGGAAUAUCUCUCCUCCCAUCGCUUCCUCAAACUGGUUUUAUUUUAGGUUGGAAAGGAGCGUCCAGUCUGAGUUGUCGAGAUCAUCCCUCUAUCAUUGUGUCUUGUUCAGAUCUUGCCUCCAUCAUUCUGGAGUUGAAACCCAGAAUGUCCUUCUGCGUUCCCCGGGACACUUAAGGACCUUCUCCCCUCCCCGCCCCCAAAGAGUAGCCCAGACUAGUGACCCCGGCCUCAGCCUCCAUCACCCCUGGACGCCCCCCCCACCCCC
ensembl:lncRNA